rnacentral:rRNA from 1 species
UACGGAGGGUGCAAGCGUUGCUCGGAAUUAUUGGGCGUAAAGCGCUCGCAGGUGGUUCGUUGCGUCGUGCGUGAAAGACCCCGGCUCAACUGGGGAGGGUCGUGCGAUACGGUCGAACUGGAGGCCAGUAGGGGGAUGCGGAAUUCCGGGUGUAGUGGUGGAAUGCGUAGAGAUCCGGAGGAACACCAGCGGCGAAGGCGGCAUCCUGGACUGGUCCUGACACUCAGGAGCGAAAGCGUGGGGAGCGAUCCGG